rnacentral:tRNA from 1 species
GCCGAUGUAGCUUAGCUCGGCAGAGCGGCUGAUUCGUAAUCAGCAGGUCGAGGGUUCAAAUCCCUCCAUCGGCU